CUAAGAUGUGCUUAUACCGCCAAAACUCCAUGGAGAAAAGCAGGGGAUCUUAAGACCUUGCCCUUAAGGAGCGGCCGAAGCCUGAUUAACUAGUUGGUGGGGUAAAAGCCUACCAAGGCUACGAUCAGUAGUUGGUCUGAAAGGACGACCAACCACACUGGGACUGAAACACGGUCCAGACUCCUACGGGAGGCAGCAUUGGGGAAUUUUGGACAAUGGGCGAAAGCCUGAUCCAUCCAUGCCGCGUGAGUGAAGAAGGCCUUCCGGUUGUAAAGCUCUUUCAGUCCGAAAGAAACGAUUGCGACUAAUACUUGUUAUUAAUGACGGUACCGACAGAAUAAGCACCGGCUUACUACGUGCCAACCGCCGCGGUAAUACGUAGGGUGCGAGCGUUAAUCGGAAUUACUGGGCGUAAACGGUGCGCAGGCGGUUUUGUAAGUCUUAUGUGAAAUCCCCGGGCUUAGACCUGGGAAUUGCGUUUGAAACUGCCAGGCUAGAGUGCAGUAUAGGGGAGUGGAAUUCCACGUGUAUCAGUGAAAUGCGUUCAGAUGUGUAAGAACACCGAUGGCGAAUGCCCCUCCCUGGGUUAGCACUGACGCUCUUGCACGAAAAGCGCGGGGAGCAAACUGGAUUACAUUACCCCUGGUAGUUCCACCGCCCAUAAAAUGAUGUCUAUUUAGUUUGUCCGGAUCUAAACUAAACGGAUUUUGGUCAACAGUAAUCCUAACCGCUUGGAAUUUUGAAC
rnacentral:rRNA from 1 species